rnacentral:rRNA from 1 species
UACGUAGGGUGCGAGCGUUGUCCGGAAUUAUUGGGCGUAAAGGGCUCGUAGGCGGUUGGUCACGUCUGCUGUGAAAACGCGAGGCUUAACUUCGCGCCUGCAGUGGGUACGGGCUGACUAGAGUGUGGUAGGGGAGGCUGGAAUUCCUGGUGUAGCGGUGGAAUGCGCAGAUAUCAGGAGGAACACCGAUGGCGAAGGCAGGUCUCUGGGCCACUACUGACGCUGAGGAGCGAAAGCAUGGGUAGCGAACAGGAUUAGA